GUCCAUAAAGGUGCUGCCUUCCUCCAGAACAAACAACGGAAAUGCAUCAGGAGAGCUCGGCUGCAGACAGAAUGCACAUCAUGAAGCAGGAGCCACCCUGGGAUCCCUCAGAUGAAAGCUGAUUUCAAUGAACAUUGUGUUUCAAAGCCUGCUUCCUCUGGCCCUGUAAGGACUGCAGAAGGAACAUCCCACUUGCGUCUGCUGACACAAAAGAAUGCUGUGGCUGGGAGAUCUUAUCGAGCCUUCCUGUGCCACAGCAACAGAGCUCCAGUUGUGUCUCCUAAGAAUUGCUCAUUGUUUCGUGUGAGGACUAGCUCCUUUGGGUGGGAUCUGAUGGCAUCUCAUGGAGUUGGAGGUUUCCAGGAUAACUUGUGGAGACAGUGCUGUCCAUCUCUACUCCACUGACUAAGGUUUCUCUUUGAUGUUGAGUCCAGCUUUUGGAAGCCCUAUCCAAAGAAGCUUUCUUCUGUCACUUGCGAGUGAGACUGAUGCAAUCAAUGAUACUGUCUCUAGAUCUUCCUGCUGAAAGAAAGUACUCCUGACAUAUCUCUUCUGAUUGCCUGGAUUUCUGUUUCUCUAAAUUAUUAAUUAGUCACAAUGUAUCUAAAUGUUUAUGAUUGGCCUAUAAUUAAACAGAAUGUUGUUCAUUUAAUAAUUUAGCCUUUUAGAGUAAAUCAUUUUAGAAUGAACAAAUAACAUAUAACACAGAAGAAUUUCAAAAUAAUUAUGCUGAUUGAAACCAUACAAAAGAAUAUAUAGUGUACAAUUCUAUUUAUGUAAAACUUUGAAUAUGCAAAUUACUCUAAGAAAGAAAGAAAGAAAGAAAAUACAUCCAUGGUUG
rnacentral:lncRNA from 1 species